GGACUAUAAAGUGGAGCAAUCCAUGUAGUAAAGUGGCNAACCGGGUGAGUAACACGUGUACUAACCUACCCUAGUAGUGGGGGAUAACCUCGGGAAACCGGGGCUAAUACCGCAUAACAUCACGAGGGGAAGAUCCUUGUGAUCAAAGGAGCAAUUCGCUCCAGGAGGGGGUCGCGGCUGAUUAGCCAGUUGGCGGGGUAACGGCCCACCAAAGCAAAGAUCAGUAGCCGGCCUGAGAGGGCGCACGGCCACACUGGAACUGAAACACGGUCCAGACUCCUACGGGAGGCAGCAGUGGGGAAUUUUGCGCAAUGGGGGAAACCCUGACACAGCAACGCCGCGUGGAGGAUGAAGUCCCUUGGGAUGUAAACUCCUUUCGAUCGGGACGAUUAUGACGGUACCGGAAGAAGAAGCACCGGCUAACUCUGUG
rnacentral:rRNA from 1 species